rnacentral:lncRNA from 1 species
AAGAUGGUAUAUUGAGUAGUAAUAGUGAGUGCUAUGUAAUGAGUGGUAGUAUUUGCGAGUAGUACUAGUGAGUGCUAUUGUUAUGAGAAUGUAGUAUGCAGUAGUCCUAGUGCGUGCUAUGUAAUGAGUGGUAGUAAUGAGUGGUAGUAAUGAGUAGUAGUAAUGGAGUGCUAUGUAAUGAGUGGUAGUAUUGAGUAGUAAUAGUUGAUGCUAUUGUAAUGAGUAGUAAGUAGUGGUGCUAUGUAAUGUAGUGGUAGUACAUGAGUAGUAAUGA